GUCGGUGGGCGCGCCCACCUUCCUCGCGCGGGCAUCACCACCUGGCCCGGGAGGGGGCGGCCGGCGGCCUCUUAAAGAGACAGCAGUGCCGGGUGGUGGGCGAUGACCCCAGCCGGGAACGAGCUCCGGGAUGCGUCCCCGGGAGCUUCUGGGUCCGCGAAUGGAUGGCUAGGACGCAGGCAGAACGAUGCUGUGCAGCGUCUGCUCUGCCAACCCCUCUGCACUUCCCUCUCCAGAGCCGGGUGGGGGCGGGGAGGGAGGGCGUCUCCGUCGAGUCGGGGCGUUCACGCCCGCUCCUGCCUUCGGCCUGUCGUGGGGCUAGCGCGGACCCCGGUAAUCCCCUGGCGGGCACGGACAGGCCCACUCCAGUGUGCAGACUGCCGUCGGUCCUGUGCCGUCCGGUACCUGGGUAGCCCUGGAGGAUGAAAUUUCCCUGUUGGGUCUUCGAGCAGUAUCCUGCUGGAGGGGAAAGGAGCCCAAGGCUGGAGACGAUAGAAGCGACUUCUGUUUCAAAGGAGGAAGGGGUUUUACCAUGGUGAAAAAAGCCAUCCUUUCACCGGGCGCUACCCAGCCCUUCUCACCUCUGAGUCCUGUUUUUGGCAUCUUGGGUCACUCUGCCAUUUGAGACAUUUGAUAUUUAAGUGACGUUCGUGGCUGAGCUCAGCUGGCAGUGUUGAAAAAAAUGACUGAGCCCAUGACUGAUGUCCUGCCGGCUGCUCGGUGGCUGGUGAGCAAAUGGAUGCCAGUGAUGAACGAAGCAGAGAGACUGACUCUUGCCAGCUAUGCCAGCUAGUCCAUAAGGAGCCAUUGGACAAGAGAUUUCUCUAGGUCUCUCAGAGUGGCUGGGCAGCAUCUAGACUGCUAGGGUUUCUGGAUGGUGGUCAUCAGACUCGUCUCUUAAAAGCCUUUUCCAACAGUGCCUCUAACAUUCCCAACCGAUUUGCUAAGCAGUUUUUAUAUAUAGGCAAUGGCUCAUUUGGUCUCUGUGAUGACCCGGGAGGGAGACAGGUGUUAGGGAGUCUGCGUGUGUAGACUGGGGGAUUAUUUUGGAGAGUGUGAGUCACUGUCCAGGGCUCCACAGCUGGGCAGUGGCAGACCCAGGCUUGAAGCUGCAUUUUUGACUUUAGCUUCCAUUCUACCCAAGCUUAUCCAGGUUUCCCCUUCCCCCUGUUUGCUAAAGUUGUCCUUAAAUGUUCUGUAUACUGGAUUUAGAAGCCUGUAGGAUCUGCAGGAAUGGUUAACUUGAUGUGCUUUGUGCUAUACUGUUACUGAAUCAGUAAAUAAAAG
rnacentral:lncRNA from 1 species